UGUGCCCCAUGAGGGUGGCCAGCUCGGGGUGCCCUGCUGUGCCCUGGACCCUGGCCUGAGUCUGCUGACCCCCAGGUUAUGGAGAGUUUUGCCUCAAAAGAUGAGGGGCCAAGGCACCGGGGCAGGUGACGUCUUGGGGACCUCUUGGCUCAUGAAUGAGGGAAUGGGAUGAGAACUCGGGAUUCAGCUGCCUUGAGGAGCUCAAGGUGGGGCACUCUGCCAUGAAGGGGUGGCUCCCUGUCUGCCCAGAGCAGACAGACCAGGGCAGGACCCCCGGCACCCUCAGACCUGGGAGGCCCCCUUGCUGACCACGCUCUAGGGCAGGGAGGAUGUGUCUAUGGAACAAAAGCUACACCUACGAAGCUGUGUCCACCGUGAAGUUAAUACAAAGUGUAGUUUUGCUUAGUUUACUUAAAAGAAAAAAGGGAAUGUUCUAUUACCUGCAAGGCCUGUAAGCUGCUAAGACUCCUUGCCGUUUGUGGAAGAAAUUCCCCGCUGCAUCUGCUGCUGGCUUCACCAUCCUUUCUGGAGUUCAGGUCUGUGGCUAGACUGAAGGUGUACAUCCUGCAGGGGAAGGAAAGCACGGCUUGAACAGAAGUGAGACCAUGUUGUUGCCAUGGAGACCCAGCAUCUGGUCAUGGGUGCUCCCCUCUGCUCUCCUGGACAGAGGAUUGGAAGCUGCUGUGGUUUGUGAAUACGGUCCUCCAUCACCAGUCUCUCCAGGCCAUCUCUGAUCUUCAAAGCAAUGGACAAACAUUACAGUGUGAUUUUGCGGUAGAUAAGUCCAAAGAAUCCCUGCACCGUCUGGCACGGAGGCUGAGGCUGGGGUCAUUAUAGUGGUGAUGGGUGACUGGUGUGUUAAUUGACAAGUACUAUUCAUCAGAGCUGCAGACUCUUACCUGGAAAGGUGCCCUCUGUGGCGGGCAGGGGGAUUCCUCCUGGUGCGCCUGCAGGUCUGUUUCCAGGCACUCUAAUGCCAGUGGUUCUGCUGCUUGGAUCGUGCAAGUGUGAGUCCUGACCAGGGCUCGUAGGAAGUAAUUAUUCAACAUCUGCACAGCUAUCUGUCAGUCCGUGGGUCAGCUGGCCUCUGGACAUUGCUGUCUGACCCCAUUUUCCACUAAUGAAUAUGUCAGUGAUGUGUGGAGACAUUCAAGGAUCAUUUUCCGAUUUUGAAAGCUUUAGAUGUUUAAUAAGGAUUUUCAGCAGUUUGAAAAGAUUUAGCCAGCACAGUGGAGUCCAACAGCUCCCGUCAUCUGCCUCACUGGCCCAUAAGCACAGAUCACAGCUUGUCAGGGUGUCUUGAUGCUCCCCCAGCCACAAUGAGGGUGCUUCCAAAGCAGGACCAAUCAGACAACCCACAGCACCUAGCCCAGUGCUUAUUUCUCUUUCCUUUCAUUGCAAUUUUUGUUAAUACUGAUUAAUUCUCAAGAGAAAGUUCCUCUGGAAAGAAUAGUCCCAGAAAUGUCAGGCAUAAAAGCUGGAAUGGUUAUGUUGAUGGCAGGUGUCUGAUGUAUUAAUUGUGAAGUGAAAAGUAUCAUAGCCGCUGACUCAUCUUCUGCAGAGUCUUUGUGGUUCCUCUGUGACUGUGAAACUCUCCCAUCCCGGGCAGAGAGCGAAGGACAUGCUAAAUGAUGCGGGGCCACAGGGGAGCCCCAACCCUCCUGAAAUUGAGAUGGUUAGUUAGGGCAUAGCCAGCAUCUCCUCUCUAUUCCUUAAACUGUUGAUUGGAUCAGGUGGUGAACUGAGCUUGCAAGAAAGCAAGAGCUUCCUUGAUUGUACAACGUCACCUGGCCUCCUGGGCCCGAGUCUUCUCACCUCUCAAGCAGGGGAGCUGCCUUCGGUUAUCUCUACAAUCCCUUGUGGCACCCACAUCCUGUGAUUUUGAUGUGGCCCCUGGACCCACGGACAUGUCUAUGUCAGCAAAUUGUGUUUCUCCUGAACCGCUGGUCUGCACGCAUCUGGGAUGGCCAUGACUGUUGGUUGAAUGUGUGUCUGUUUUCUCACUGGAUGUGGGAAAGCUCGGAGCUGGGAGCUCACAGCGCACGCCAUGGUAUGGACAAACCUCAGCCCUGGCUUUGUCUAGCUUUUCCACCUUUACUCUCCCUUUGACCCAGCUUUCUUACAUUCUCUUCUUGAAAUUUAAAAUGGAUUAAUUUAUGUUUUGAGUAAGUAAUGCAUUUAUAUGCUUCAUACAUUUAAACAUUAUGAAAUGGUCGUGUUUGAAAAGACUCCCUCCCAUUUCUGUUCCAUUCUCCUGGCUCCCACUCCCAACACCCACCGGUAACCAUGGUUAGAAGUUUCUAGACACUCUCCCUUCCAGGGAACCUUUAGGCAUACACAUGUAUAGAAAUACAUAUUGUGCACAUGUAUUUACAGACAGUUAUGUGUUUCUCUCCCCUUCCCCCACAAGUAUAUCAUGCCAUACACAUCGUUCUGCAACUUAUUUUUUUCAUUUAUCAAUAAAUCUUGCAUAUUUUUUCAAAUCAAUAUAUAAAAUUCUCC
rnacentral:lncRNA from 1 species